rnacentral:sRNA from 1 species
CCCAGGGUUGAAACCCUGGGCUAUAAAGCUAUCGCCCCUACAGGGCU